AAAAAAAUUCCCUGAUUAUUUUUCAAGCUACAUAAUCUAAAAGCAAACCAAUCCCAGUCAAAGUGACUUGUUUUAAAGAAUCCCCACAUCCCCCAAUUCCCCCAGCAGUGUCUGGUAAACUGAUUGUGCUCUCUUCUUAUAUGCUAAUAACACUAAUGCCUCCACAUUAUCACCUGGCCCUUCACAGCAACAGUACCAACAGUAUCCGGGCUAACUGAGUCUCAUCCAAUCACGCUCCAGAUAUCUGGGUGGGGUUAUAUAUAUAUACUGUUUUCCUGACAGAAUCUACAUUGAAUUUUUUAGUUUUAUUGUGAAAUAAAAUUCAAAAACCUUAAAGGACAAACUGCUUUUUGAGAUUCCUACAUUGCCUACAAGGGACCGCAUACAACAAAGCCUACUAAGGCCAUUUCUCAUCUCUUUUUUCCAUUCAAGACUGAAAAGGAAAAUGAGACCCAGAAGAGUCUGUCCUGAAAAGGAAGCUUUGAAAUUCAUCGCAUCUGGGAAAGAUAAAGACAUAUUUCAGUCAAGAGUCAAGAGAAAGGUAAGUUAUCAUUUAUGACUCUGUCUCCAAUACUGUAUGACUGCAAAUAUUAAUUAAAUACUUGGCAUAGUAGCUUAUGAAUUUCAAGAAGUGUACUGUGCAAUGUUAUUACUAGUUCAUAGUGUGCAGUGUGAA